CCCCCACUGUGAAACGGGCCCAGCCUGGUCUCCUCACCCACCUCCAUUCCUGAGGCUCUCGGUGCAGGGGGAGGCGGUCCCUGGCUCCGGAGACGCUCUGCGCAUGUGUGGCGUGCUUGCUGUUUGGGGGCCGCCUCAGACUAGUUUCCGUUCUGGAGUGGGCUACUCCCUCCCUGCAAACCUCCAUCUGAACUGAGCAGAUGGAGACGGGGACCGAUCAGAGUGAAGGGAAAGCUGUCCCCACUGCCCUGGCAUAGCUUCCUGCCAGCUGCACUGCCGGCGCAACCUGCCAUCUCCCCACCCUGGACGAGCCUGGGCUAUGCCGGUACCAUGUAUCCAGAAUUCCCUUCUCCGAGUGAUUCCAGCCCCUCCCUCCUGACACUGCACCUGGCGGGCCAUGGAGACAACGGCCAGAAGUGUCCGCCACAGCUCCUCCUCCCUGACUUCUCCCCCAGCGGAUAGCCCUGGCUGACCAUGCAGGCUGGCCUAUCUGCGUCCACGCAGGUCAGAGACCUGUCUGAAUCUCAAACUCCCACCAUUGACCUUGUAUUUCCACAGCUCCCCUGCGCUGUGUGAGGUCUAACUUUGUAAUAAAUCACUACUGUUUCAUUAGCGCACAGCGGCU